GACGAACGCUGGCGGCGUGCUUAACACAUGCAAGUCGAGCGAUGAAGCUCCUUCGGGAGUGGAUUAGCGGCGGACGGGUGAGUAACACGUGGGUAACCUGCCUCAUAGAGGGGAAUAGCCUUCCGAAAGGAAGAUUAAUACCGCAUAAGAUUGUAGUUCCGCAUGGAACAGCAAUUAAAGGAGUAAUCUGCUAUGAGAUGGACCCGCGUCGCAUUAGCUAGUUGGUGAGGUAACGGCUCACCAAGGCGACGAUGCGUAGCCGACCUGAGAGGGUGAUCGGCCACAUUGGGACUGAGACACGGCCCAGACUCCUACGGGAGGCAGCAGUGGGGAAUAUUGCACAAUGGGGGAAACCCUGAUGCAGCAACGCCGCGUGAGUGAUGACGGUCUUCGGAUUGUAAAACUCUGUCUUUGGGGACGAUAAUGACGGUACCCAAGGAGGAAGCCACGGCUAACUACGUGCCAGCAGCCGCAGUAAAAC
rnacentral:rRNA from 1 species